AGGGCGUUUUUUUUGUUUUAUUUUUAAAAAGAAAUUAUAUUAAAAUGAAAUCAAAUUAAAUUUUAAAAAAUAAAUAAACUUUAAAUAACACCCUUAUGGUUUCACACUUUUUCACUUCAAUACUCUAUAAUUUAAGUAUAUCAAUUUAGUAUUCUGUAAUCUUAUUUUUUUCUUUUUACUAUCCCUUCUCGGUUAAUUUUUCGUUAAAUUAUAUAUAAAAAAUUUCACAUAACUAAUCUAUUGUUUAUUGAAUAUUACUUUUGUAUUAUUUAGUUUGACUUUCUCACUAAUUUAAUAAAAAUAUUAAUGACAAGAAUAAUAAAAAAAAUUACAGAAUACGAAAAUAAUUUAUUUUAAAUUAUAAAUAUUAAAGUGUGAAAGUAUGAAACUAUAGGGGUGAUAUUUAAAUUUUUUUUAAAAAUAUAUUAUAUAUAUAUAAAGAGAAAAGAAGGGUAGUUUGUUGAGAGGGUGAAACGGAAGCGAAGAGAAAAGCGGGGGA
rnacentral:lncRNA from 1 species